rnacentral:rRNA from 1 species
AUGAAGAAGAUGAGAGAAGUGAAGAUUAUGCUUAGCACCUUAGCAUAUAUCCAAAGUCCAAACUCGGAUGGUACACAAGGAUUUCUGUAUGCGGAGGUUAGCUUCAGCAGAACAAUUAUAUUGAUGACCACGAUGAUGAGCUGGAGAAGGGUAACCAUCCUGCCACCACCAGGGAGCUCUUGGUUGCACUGCAAUCAGCGAGGCCUUGUCAACUCGCUGAUGCCACUUAACCUCUAUGGCCUCUCAUUGCUCAAGAUGGAUAGUUUUGUGCAGGUUUGGCCUCAACCACUUCUUCCUGUCCUACUGCUACAUGGACCAUGA